rnacentral:rRNA from 1 species
UACGUAGGGUGCGAGCGUUAAUCGGAAUUACUGGGCGUAAAGCGUGCGCAGGCGGUUUUGUAAGCCAGAUGUGAAAUCCCCGGGCUCAACCUGGGAAUGGCAUUUGGGACUGCAAGGCUGGAGUGCGGCAGAGGAGACUGGAGUUCCUGGUGUAGCAGUGAAAUGCGUAGAUAUCAGGAGGAAUACCGAUGGCGAAGGCAGGUCUCUGGGCUGACACUGACGCUCAUGCACGAAAGCGUGGGGAGCAAACAGG